UACAGCCAAGUAGGGAUACAUUCCAUUCUGUCAUCAGUUAGUGGAAAGGUGCUUUCAUGUUUGUUAUCAUGGACUUUCAUUCUUUCUGGAAUUUUCCGUUUGGUUGAUUUUGUUUUGUUGCAGGUGGAUAAGCAAAAUGCUCAUUUCUUUGGUGUUACGAUCAACGAGCAACAAGCCGAGUGUGGUAUUGUAGAAAGAGUUACUUCAAAUGCACAAAGCAAAUUUAAGUUACUUUAUUUCGAGCAAGAUGUGAAUGGCGGUUAUGGUUUGGCCCUACAGAUGGAUAAUUGAUCCUCCUCUGGAGGUCAAUGUACCAUCAAAACGCACACCAUGGCCUGAUGCCCCUCCUGAACUCCCUACCAAUGAAAAUGUAGUGUUGGGCAUCCAAGAGCAUGCUGUAAAGCAUCCUACAAAGACCCGCACAUCUAGAUCAAAGAGACGAAGCAAGAGAAAGCAUGACACAAGAACGGUGGACACACAGGUUGCUUCAAAGCAUUCUGAACAAAUUUGAAAAUCUUAGCACGAAGACGACUAGAGAUGCAUGCUGCUGUGUGAAUUUUAGGCAUCAUUCUUCAGCAUCAUAAAAAAAUUUGAAUUGCAAAGGCUUAUUAGCACAGAGGCAGAUGGCCUAACCUGGUAUAUGUGAAAAGAAUCCUUCACGCUGGGCCAGUUGAUAACAGGCAUUGGAGUUUGAAUUUUCACUUAAUUUUUCACAAAUUUUUUCUUUCUUUUAUAUAUUUUUGUUUGGGAUAUCAGGAUUCUGGUUCAGCAUGAGGUAUGCCAGCAAAGUCUUGCCGUGUCUGCUACCUUGUAGGACUUUGUAUCCAAUAUGUUUUGAAUCUUAUACAUAAUC